GCUUCUCUCACUAAGUCAAUUAUUUAUUCACCAAACAAUAACUGAGGACCCAGCUGUGCUUUGCGCAGAACUGGGAGUUGCAAAUACAUACGGCAAACGAGACAAAGUCCCACUUGAAUGACUUCUUUUAUUGAAGAGGCUCUUCUGACUGGGGAAGACAGAAAUUCAGCCAACAACAACAACCAGGAGAAUGUCAGGUAGUGAAUAGUAAAUACUACAAUGAAAAGAAAGCAAGACAAGUACAAUCAAGAGUGACGGGAGUGACAGGAGGUACUUGAAAUUGGACGAUCAAGAAAGACCUCUCUGAGGAUGUGUUGUGAAUAACAAGAUGAACCAGCCAUGCAAAAAUAAAAAUAAAAAAUCCAGGAAAAGAAGGGACCUGCCUGUGCAAAGGCCCUAAGAUUCACUAGUUAACACAGGAUCUCUGGGCUUUCCUCACAAAGGCCUGAAUCACCCCCAGAAGCCUGGGAAAGGCAUGGUCAUACUCAAGGCGUCAACACCAACCACUGGAUCAUUGCCAUCCUCACACAAAAGCCUCAGCGCCCUUGAACUACCAGCUCGACACAGCCCCCCCCCCAGAGAGCCCCACCUGGCCCUUGCUGAGAAAGUGUAAGAUUCCAUGACCUGAUGGUCAGGUGUGAAGACUUCACCUGGAAGUGUUUCUUAUGUAGAGUAGCCUUUAACUUGCAACCUGGAAUGAGAAGAUGCUGAAGCUGAAGCUCCAAUACUUUGGCCACUUGAUGAGAAGAGCCAAC